rnacentral:lncRNA from 9 species
AUGGCAGAUGGCAUCUCCCAGAGUGAGGGAUAUAAAAGAGAGGGCUGAACUUUGGGGACACACGUAUUGUGGGUCAAAAUGCCUUCCCCAAUUCCAACUCAUUAGGUUUUACGGAACUAUGAGAACCAUAUCCCUUUUCUCCUUGUCAUGGUUACAGUCACCCUGUAUAUGGCAAGUGGAAGAGACAAUGGAAUGGAGGACAUUUAUUUGUCUGUGAUGGGUUUCUGAUCAAGAAUCAGAAGAAGCAUCAAGAAUCUAGUUUGGGUGGACUCCGACCAGCUCCUCUGUCAGCAUUUUUUGACGCAGUUCAGAGCAAAUAAUACCCAAAUCUUAUGGCUUACGAAAACUGGUGAAACUGAAAUAAGGCUUGAUGACAAUGCAAUGCAAUUUGGACACAGUUUCUGAGACGCCAAUUCUAGACGGCCUUUAUAGACUGCAAUUAUAAUCCAAGCGGAAUAGGACAGAAGAAACCUUUAUACCUCAUUAGAACCUGGGAGAUGAUAAGAAAUUGAGGAAUUACAGCCUCUCAUGGAAUAUAAGGAGGUUUCUCCAUGGGGAAGACAGCAUCCACUUUUUAAAGCCUUUGGCCUCAAAGGGACAUAAAGUUUUUAAGGAGAAACUGCAUUUUUGUCAAACCCAGGUUUGUUAUUUGGGGCACAUGACCCAAAUGGGCUUCAUGGUAUUGUGAAUUUCCAACCCAAAAUCAAAUACUGGCUAUUGCUGAAAGUGGGUUGUCUGGCUAUUGUUGAAACUGGAUUCCAAAAUUUUCUCUCAUGGCUAGGUCUUUAUAUGCCUUACUAAGAACAUCAAAUCUGACUCUAUUACUUGGGAAGAUUAGGAUAACCUAGCUAUUAAUACCUUAAAGAAUAGCUUGAAAAAUCUUUCUGUCACUGGACUCCCUAAUUAUCAAAUUCCCUUUUUUGCUUUUCAUAUAUGAGAAGAAAGGAUGUACUUUUGGACUACUUACCCAAAAUCAUGGGGAUCACUAUUGCCCCAUAGACUACCACAGUCAGCAGCUAGACCCUGUGACAUGGGGAUAUCUCCUUUCCUCAGAACCAUUCCUGCUAUUGUCCUCUAAGUUAGGGCCAUUGAAGAAAUAGUGGUGAUAUCCCUCGUAGCCAUUUUUGUAACCCAUUCAGUUAAAGCCCUCCAGAAUUCUCAUCAUACUCAAUACCAUUUGGCCAGCAAUUUAAACUCCUAUGCAAUCCUCUCACAGUUCUUUCUCACUGUAAUAACUUCAACACUGCCACACAUCUUUUCUGUUCAGAAUAUAAUACUCUUGAUAACUGUUGGCCAGGACACAUGGUCUUUAGACCCCUGGAGAUGAUUCAUGGGAAACUCCUCUAACCAAUGCUGAGUUUUCAUAGUUUACUGAUGGUUCUUAUUUAAAGGGAAAAAAAA